rnacentral:lncRNA from 1 species
GGCAAAGCUUGUGACUCAUAGCAACUUUUGCUUCAACAAACCAAAGGCAGAAAAAAAAUUGAUAACCACUGUUUUAAGCCAAAUAAAACAAAACAAAAAAAACACUUGUGUCAAUUGAUCCAAAAAGGAUGAAAGGCUGAAGCAGUAUGUUUCUGGGUGGAGGUCAAAAUAAAUAAUAUCAGCAGUCUCACUUUUCUUACCCAUCUUGGGCUAAAUUGGGCCUCAAAGGAAGGUCAGUAGCAGAAGAAAUAGAAGAAUUCACCACUUGCCCCAGCUUCCUACUCCUGAGUUAAUUGACCUACAUCCAAAGUGAAAAGUUAUUCAGCCUCUGAAGAGAAGCAUUUUGUUUGGGGAUCUUCAAGUAUGCUUGUCAGCCACAUACAGGGGGAAGACAAUGUAAAGACACAGGAUGAAGGUGGCCAUCUACAAGCCAUGGAGAGAUGCCUGGAACAGAUUCUUCCUUCAGGACCCUCAAAACGAACCAAUCCUGCUGACACCUUGACCUCAA